GAGCACUCGACAGCCGAGCCGAAAGGGACGGAGCGGGUCAGAGCCGGGCAGAAGCAAUAAAUGACCGAGCUAGAGGAGGGACUCACGCUGGCGCUGGCGUUACCCUUUCCGGCCUGGCGGAGCCACCUGCAGUCAAGAAGGACCUCUCAAGGCUGCAAGGGACUGAUGCACUCGUGCCAAGCACUGCACCAGGAAUCUGGAUUGUCUUGUUCAACUGUUCAACUACCUGAUGCCACAGAGAAAGACACAGCAAGAGAGGGAGCACAAGCAGUGGGAGUGAGAGAAGGAGAAGCAGGCUUCCUGCAGAGCAGGAAGCCCAACGCGGGGCUCAAUCCCAGGACCCUGGGAUCAUGACCUGAGCCGAAGGCAGACGCUUAACGACUGAGCCACCCAGGCGCCCCUCAAUAUCUCUUUAAAGACUAUCUCUAAAUGCAGUCACAUCCUGAGGCACUGGGGGUUGGGCGUUCAACAUAGGAAUUUUGGAGGGACGCUGUCCAGCCCCAUAAGGUUGAUAAGUACUUAUGCUGAAGGGCUUCCGUCUGCCCAGCCAGAUCCACACCCACUCUGUGCUCUUCUUCACCCUGCUCUGUUCCCCAGGAGGCUGACUUCUAUGGACCUCAUCCCCCGGCCCUGUGCUUCCAGCCAGGGUCCAGUUGGUACCGCCAGUGGGAGGCAUUGGCAAGGGAAUGGAAGGAAGGAGGAGAGUGAAGUCAGUCUCGAGUUAUUUCGCUAAGCAUAAUACACUGUAGUUCCAUCUGUGUUGUUGCAAAUGGCAAGAUUUCAUUCUUUUUGGUGACUGAGUAAUAUUCUGUGUGUGUAUAUGUGUUUACACCACAUCUUUUUUUUUUAAGAUUUUAUUUAUUUGAGAAAAAGAGAGCACAAGCAGGGGGAGGGGCAAAGGGAGAGGGACCCUACAUGAGGCUCCAUCCCAGGACCCCAAGAUCAUGACCUGAGCUGAAGUCAGAUACUUAACCGACUGAGCCACCCAGGUGCCCCCCACGUCUUCUUUAUCUAUCCAUCAGUCAAUGGACAUUUGGGCUCUUUCCAUAAUUUGGCUAUUGUAGAUAGUGCUGCUAUAAACACUGGGGUGCAGGUGCCCCUUUGAAUCAGCAUUUUUGUAUCCUUUGGAUAAAUGCCUACUAGUGCAAUUGCUAGGCCGUAGGGUAGCUCUAUUUUCAACUUUUUGAGGAACCUCCAUACUGUUUUCCAGAGUGGCUGUGCCAGCUUGCAUUCCCGCCAACAGUGUAGGAGGGUUCUCACAAGGAGGCCUCUUCACACACAGAUCUGUCCCCGGGUUCCAGUCCCUGUUCCCUCCCUCGCCCCCAGAGGCCUAGUUUCAGCAAACUGUGCCCCUCUGUCACUAGCCAAAGGCUUUAGGCCAUCUUUUGUGGCUUCCCGACACUCUGCCGACCUCUUUAUGAAGAGUGCCCUUAUUUAUAUAGUGUGUCAGACAAAAAGAGAAAAAGCACUCCCACCAGCAGAACGGCCUUGGUAAGUAAAAAUCCCAGCAUAUUGAUGAAAUCAUUAAUACUGCUACUCACCUUUGGCAGAGGGCCAGGGUCAGAGAGAAAUUAGCUGCUUGCCUUAAAAAAGGAGGAAAACAAUAUAUUCAGUACGAAGUACUGAGACCAGGGGGAUGAAAGACAAGGAGGGGGAUGUUCAAGGAGGAGGCACGAGAGCCAUCUCCCCCCACCCCCCACACACUGUUGUGUGCUCUGUCUUCUGGCCCAGCAUGCUCCUCAGAGGCCCACCCUCCCCUUCCUUUCAAGAGUCAGCCAGCAGGGCACUUAAGCCCCCAGCACACAUUCUGCCAAACUUGCUCCCUCCCUCCCUGAACUGAUCCCUCUCAAAAUGUGGUGUUGUGACUCUGUUUACUUGUCUUGAGUCUCUACCUGGGCCUCUCUGAGGGCAGGAACUGGGUCUCCUAUCUCUGCCUCCCCAUACUCAGCCUGCUGCUUGGCCCAGAGCUGACUCUCAAGAGUUUUCUAAUGAACAACAUGGAUGAAUAAAGCCAAGUUCGCACAAAUGAGGAUGGAGCCAUCCCAGCCCUCCUUCCUGGAGGCCUUCCUCAGAUACACUCUGGGUGUAUGGGCAAAAGCUGUGGUUGAAUGGAAAUAAUCCUCCACACCUCCCCCCACCACCACCACCAUGAACCUAGUCAUUUCUAGUUCUGGCUAUCCUCUGUACCUCACUGACAGAUCCAUUUUAUAAACCCCUGGGCCUCGGCUUUAUUAUCUGCAAAAUGGGCAUAAUCGUCGCACCCACCAUAUAGCCUUGUUGUGAGGAGUCAGUAGGUCGGUAUCUUCAGAGUAUUAAAACAGUACCUAGUGUGUAGGCUCAGUAAAUAAGAUGAUGUUUUCUGACCAUUCCACAUUUAAGAGCAACGAAUCACAAUUUAUUAAAUUACACCUAACAAUUUGCAAAGCAUGUUCACACAGCUGCGCAUUCAUUUCUUCGGCCAACAGUCUUGCCCCCAACAAGAAUCCAGUUCGAGCAGAGGAAAGAGAAGCACUUUAUGCUUCUACCCACUCUGCAUCACCGUGGCUCCUUUUGUAGCCAAGAAAACGGGAGCCAGCUGGGCCUGAAGCAACAAUCUGGCCUUUUAUUAUUGGAAUUAAAGGGCAAUUGGAAUCACUCUGGAGCUUUCCCAGCAGAGGAUACGACCCUUGAAGGCAGAUGUUUCAGGCUGCUGUGGGCCCCUCUUUUCUUGUGGAAGGCAGAGCAACUCCAUCCUUAAUGUGCACCUGAACCUCCCAAGAUCUUGGAAAAUGCAGAUCGUGACUCAGGCGGUCUGGGGUGAGGACCCAAACUCUGAAUUUCGAACAAUCUCCCAAGUUGGUGCCAAUGUUGCUAAUCUGCAGCUAGGGCAACCGACUGGCCCAAGUCCUGGGACUCUCCCAGUUUUAGCAUUGAAA